GAUCCUGGCUCAGGAUGAACGCUGGCGGCGUGCCUAACACAUGCAAGUCGAACGAAGCAUAGCGGAAUGAUUUCUUCGGAGAGAAUGAAGUUAUGACUGAGUGGCGGACGGGUGAGUAACGCGUGGGCAACCUGCCUUACACAGGGGGACAACAGCUGGAAACGGCUGCUAAUACCGCAUAAGCGCACAGUCUCGCAUGAGAGAGUGUGAAAAACUCCGGUGGUGUAAG
rnacentral:rRNA from 1 species